rnacentral:rRNA from 1 species
UGAGCAAUCUGCCCUUCUCAUCGGAAUAAGCGUUGGAAACGACGUCUAAUGCCGAAUACGACCUCCUUUCGCAUGAUCGGAGGUGGAAAGCUCCGGCGGAGAAGGAUGAGCUCGCGGCCUAUCAGCUAGUUGGUGUGGGUAAUGGCCCACCAAGGCGACGACGGGUAACCGCCUGAGAGAGUGACCGGCCACACUGGGGCUGAGACACGGCCCAGACUCCUACGGGAGCAG